CAAGCCUGGGCCUACACAAAGCAGAUUUUAAAUGGUUUGAGAUAUCUACAUGAGCAAAAUGUAGUUCACAGGGAUAUCAAAUGUGCUAAUAUAUUGGUGGAUGUACAUGGAUCUGUGAAAAUUACAGAUUUUGGAUUGGCAAAGGCAACCAAAUUGAAUGAUGUAAAAUCUUGUAGAGGGACACCAUUCUGGAUGGCCCCAGAGGUUUGCUUCCUUCCUUUUGAUAUCUUCAUUUUUAUGAACAAUUCAUGUUCUGAAUUGGAUUGAGAACUAUAUUUACUCAACUGUCUUUCAGCAUGCUUGUGAUGCAGUCCCU